rnacentral:rRNA from 1 species
GCCGCGUGAGUGAAGAAGGCCUUUGGGUCGUAAAGCUCUGUCAACAGGGAAGAAAUUAUAAUUGUUUAAUAGAUGAUUGUAUUGACGGUACCUGUGGAGGAAGCGCCGGCUAACUCCGUGCCAGCAGCCGCGGUAAAUCACU